rnacentral:rRNA from 1 species
UACGGAGGGGGCUAGCGUUGUUCGGAAUUACUGGGCGUAAAGCGCACGUAGGCGGUUGUGUGCGUCGCUGCUGAAAGCGCCAGGCUUAACUUGGCGAGGCGUGGCGAUACGACAUAACUCGAGGCAGGCAGAGGGUGGCGGAAUUCCGGGUGUAGUGGUGAAAUGCGUAGAUAUCAAGAGGAACACCUGAGGUGAAGACGGGUUGCUGGGCCGACACUGACGCUGAGUGCGCGAAAGCCAGGGGAGCAAACGGG